AUUUUUCUGUACCCUACCAUGAGGAUAAUGCAGAAUAGGCAUUUUGAUCCUUCGAUGUCGGCUCUUUCUAUCAUUGUGAAGCAGAAUUCACCAAGCGUUGGAUUGUUCACCCACUAAUAGGGAACGUGAGUUGGGUUUAGACCGUCGUGAGACAGGUU
rnacentral:ncRNA from 1 species